AGAAGUCACAUUCUUAUCCUGAAACAGCCCUAUUUAAUGCUUCCCACAUGAAUAGUGUCUCUCUCACCCAACUUAUAAUUUGUCCAAGCAUAAACCUCGUCGGCCGUCUUGUCUUUUUCCACGGUUCAGCUUCACCCUCUCCAAAUUCUUCACCAUGAAGAUUUCUCUUUCACUACAGACUUCACUUAAAUUUCAAUUUCACCCCCUUGUAAACGGUGAGAAGUUGGGGAUCUAUUCAAGACCUAACUUGAAGGCCCACUCCCUUCCCAUUCGUGCAUGAGCCCUGAACUAGAUCCACCCCCUGGUCGUUCAAAUGUCAUGAUCAGUCCUUCUUUGGAUGAAAAGUUGCAAUUAAGUUAUUUUCAAUUAGGCUGUCCAUGGUGCCCUUCUGGGUUUUGUCUUUAAUGAGUUUAUGAGGUGAAUUUGGCAUCACUAAUGGUGGAAGUUCCCGUUUCUGUCGUAUUCAUACAACACAACUAAAGUUCAAAAUGACACUUUUGGACCCAUUAGGUCAUUAUAAUCCUUCUUUAUUUGCAUUCUAAUUAGAAAUACCUUAACUGUUGUUAAGUUUCAGAUUAAAGGUUUGUGAGUGUUGAUGUUGAAGAUCGGAAGAAGAUGCAGAGUGGUUGAGAACAUAGUUGUUUUUAAUGCGAUUAGUUCUUAAAUUAGGCAGUGUUAUAGUAUAAUUUUAAUAAGUGUUUACCUCUUCACCAUCCGAAUGUCAAGGUUAUAUGAUUAAUAGUUAUGAUGGAAUCCUACCUAACAUUAUAGAAAGUUUAGGCUUGUGUGUCCUCCAUUUGGUCUGAGUUGAAUGUUUUUCGACCAUGGAUGGAGGCAUUAUGAAAAAUAAUGGGAAAAUACAAUUACAUGUUGAAGAGAUCCCGAAAAUUGUUUGUAACUAUAAGAGUUAAAUGAUGUGGUUUGUUAUUGUAUGCAAUGUGUAUAACUGGACAUUGUAUAUUUAGAAAUAGACUCUUUUUGACAAAA